CCUACGGGUGGCAGCAGUGAGGAAUAUUGGUCAAUGGACGAGAGUCUGAACCAGCCAAGUAGCGUGAACGAUGACUGCCCUAUGGGUUGUAAACUUCUUUUAUAUGGGAAUAAAACGUUCCACGUGUGGGAUUUUGUAUGUACCAUAUGAAUAAGGAUCGGCUAACUCCGUGCCAGCAGCCGCGGUAAUACGGAGGAGCCGAGCGUUAUCCGGAUUUAUUGGGUUUAAAGGGAGCGUAGGUGGAUUGUUAAGUCAGUUGUGAAAGUUUGCGGCUCAACCGUAAAAUUGCAGUUGAAACUGGCAGUCUUGAGUACAGUAGAGGUAGGCGGAAUUCGUGGUGUAGCGGUGAAAUGCUUAGAUAUCACGAAGAACUCCGAUUGCGAAGGCAGUUCACUGGACUGCAACUGACACUGAGGCUCGAAAGUGUGGGUAUCAAACAGGAUUAGAUACCCCAGUAGUC
rnacentral:rRNA from 1 species